CUAACCCAAAGAGAACCCGCAGACACCAGAGGAUUAUACAAAAGUGGUCCAGCCAUGCAGAAGACAGGCUACCUGGUGGAGAAAAGUCCCCGAGAUCUUGUCAGGGCAUCAGCAGCCACAGACAGCCGUUCCUGAAGUUCUGAUGAUGUAAUCUCAGGCACCUGCCAUCCCAUCUGAACCUCAUUUCCUGCCAUUCAACAAGUGUUCCAAGCUCUAAUGCCCAGGUGACCGGGUGGAGGACAUGAACCCCAAGGAUGCCUCAAGUCAGAGCCUUAACACUCCAUCCCCUCUGUAAUGUGCUCCCUUCCUCUGGUGUCUACCUGAGUGUCAGAGGCGAG